GGCUUUUAUAACUGCAUUCAGAUCCAUUUAUUAAUUUAUUUAUGUGUUGAUUUGUUUAAUUAUUCCUUCUAGGGAAGUGGAGGACUUUGCUAGGAGGUUGAAUUCUGAUUGGCCAGAAAGGAUGCAAGAAAUUUUAUCAUUAGGCCAUGAAAGACGACUUGUACCGAUGUCAAUAAAUGGCGAAGGUCCCAUGAGUAGAUUUACAAAAUGGACAGCUGCUUGAGUGGUUUAAAGAUGAACAUAGCAACCAAUUCGCUGCUGUAAGAUUCUCAGCUUUGUGCUCGGUUUGAUCUGCAUGUGAGUGUAUUUAUUUGUUUUACCAUCGCCAACAUAUGUCUUUGUUCAUAGCAUGUAUGUUGGAUAUUGUUCUUCCCGUUCUUCUUAUUCAUUUUCUGAAAAAAAAAAAAAGACAGUCGCAAAUUUUGAGAAUCUGUCAGUAUGUUCCGGUGAGUCAGUCCCUUGCUUGUAGCUUUCACCCGUUGUUAUUGGCAUAUUACGUACCACUCCCAAAUAAUACAGUGUCAAUACCACAAUUUUCCUCUUCCCUCUGGUGGAUAGUAUUUUGUUCAUAGCAUGGAGCUCUAUGGUAUUGUUCCUGCAGGCCCCUCAUUUGAGAUUUAAUGCUGUAAUGUGCUCUGUGAUGAAACAGUUCAGGAAUUUAACAUCCAAGAUGUAGGAUUUGGAACUUUGUAAUUUAGUUAUUUGAACUUCUAAUCAAGCUGUAAUAGAAUUUCAGCUGUACAGCCAGCCUGAAUGCUGUGAGGAAGCAAGAUUAAGCUUUAUGCGAUGUAAUUUUCUGGGUGUCAAAGUCCAAUAUAUAUCUUUGCUUAGUGAUUUAAA